CACAUGCAAGUCGAACGAGAGAGAAGGAGCUUGCUUCUUCGAUCGAGUGGCGAACGGGUGAGUAACGCGUGAGGAACCUGCCUCAAAGAGGGGGACAACAGUUGGAAACGACUGCUAAUACCGCAUAAGCCCACGGGUCGGCAUCGACCUGAGGGAAAAGGAGCAAUCCGCUUUGAGAUGGCCUCGCGUCCGAUUAGCUAGUUGGUGAGGUAACGGCCCACCAAGGCGACGAUCGGUAGCCGGACUGAGAGGUUGAACGGCCACAUUGGGACUGAGACACGGCCCAGACUCCUACGGGAGGCAGCAGUGGGGAAUAUUGCACAAUGGGGGAAACCCUGAUGCAGCGACGCCGCGUGGAGGAAGAAGGUCUUCGGAUUGUAAACUCCUGUUGUUGAGGAAGAUAAUGACGGUACUCAACAAGGAAGUGACGGCUAACUACGUGCCAGCAGCCGCGGUAAAACGUAGGUCACAAGCGUUGUCCGGAAUUACUGGGUGUAAAGGGAGCGCAGGCGGGAAGACAAGUUGGAAGUGAAAUCUAUGGGCUUAACCCAUAAACUGCUUUCAAAACUGUUUUUCUUGAGUAGUGCAGAGGUAGGCGGAAUUCCCGGUGUAGCGGUGGAAUGCGUAGAUAUCGGGAGGAACACCAGUGGCGAAGGCGGCCUACUGGGCACCAACUGACGCUGAGGCUCGAAAGUGUGGGU
rnacentral:rRNA from 1 species